rnacentral:rRNA from 1 species
GAGAGUUAAACAGUACGUGAAAUUGUUGAAAGGGAAACGAUUGAAGCCAGUCGUACCUGCGGGUAAUCAGCCUUUUGGGCAUGAUUCUGUGGAGCGUGAGGAGUUAAACGCCUUCAUGCCUGCAUAUUCGUGUACUUUGGGUGUACUUGCCUGUGUGGUUAGUUAACAUCAAUUUUGGUUAUCAUAAAAUGGCUGGAGGAAUGUAGCUUCGAUUUCGAUUGAAGUGUUAUAGCCUUCGGCAGAUGUGAUGAUCGGGAUUGAGGAUUGCAACGGAUACCCUUCGGGGCUACCUGUCUGGUCUCUGAUCGUUGCUCUGGUGCCGAAAGCGUGCUUACGGUUAUCAAAGUCGAUGGUCAAUAGGUUAGAACGGGUUAAAUUCGUUAAGGAUGUUGACGUAAUGGCUUUAAACGA